rnacentral:rRNA from 1 species
UUCCGGUUGAUCCUGGCGGAGGUCACUGCUAUCGGGGUUCGAUUAAGCCAUGCGAGUUGAGAGGGUUUAGACCCUCAGCGGACUGCUCAGUAACACGUGAAUAACCUGCCCUAUGGUGGAGAAUAACCCCGGGAAACUGGGGAUAAUAUUCCAUAGAUUAGAGAUACUGGAAUGUUCUUUAAUCGAAAGUUGAGGCGCCAUAGGAUGGAUCUGCGGUCGAUUAGGUUGUUGUUGGGGUAACGGCCCAACAAGCCUGUAAUCGAUACGGGUUGUGGGAGCAAGAGCCCGGAGAUGGAAUCUGAGACACGAUUCCAGGCCCUACGGGGCGCAGCAGGCGCGAAAACUUUACAAUGCAGGAAACUGUGAUAAGGGAACCCCGAGUGCCCGUAUACGCGGGCUGUCCAGGUGUCUAAAAAGCAUCUGAAGAAAGGGCCGGGCAAGACCGGUGCCAGCCGCCGCGGUAAUACCGGCGGCUCGAGUGGUGGCCACUAUUAUUGGGCUUAAAGCGUCCGUAGCUGGACUCUUAAGUCUCUUGGGAAAUCCGCCGGCUUAACCGACGGGCGUCUAAGAGAUACUGGGAGACUAGGGACCGGGAGAGGUGAGAGGUACUCCAGGGGUAGGAGUGAAAUCCUGUAAUCCCUGGGGGACCACCGAUGGCGAAGGCAUCUCACCAGAACGGCUCCGACAGUGAGGGACGAAAGCUGGGGGAGCGAACCGGAUUAGAUACCCGGGUAGUCCCAGCCGUAAACUAUGCGCGUUAGGUGUACUGGUGACCACGAGUCACUGGGGUGCCGAAGGGAAACCGUGAAACGUGCCGCCUGGGAAGUACGGUCGCAAGGCUGAAACUUAAAGGAAUUGGCGGGGGAGCACCACAACGGGUGGAGCCUGCGGUUUAAUUGGACUCAACGCCGGAAAUCUCACCGGAUAAGACAGCGGAAUGAUAACCGGGCUGAAGACUCUGUUUGACCAGCUGAGAGGAGGUGCAUGGCCGUCGUCAGUUCGUACUGUGAAGCAUCCUGUUAAGUCAGGCAACGAGCGAGACCC